UACGGGGGGAGCAAGCGUUGUUCGGAUUUACUGGGCGUAAAGGGUGCGUAGGCGGGUCUUUAAGUCAGGGGUGAAAUCCUGGAGCUCAACUCCAGAACUGCCUUUGAUACUGAAGAUCUUGAGUUCGGGAGAGGUGAGUGGAACUGCGAGUGUAGAGGUGAAAUUCGUAGAUAUUCGCAAGAACACCAGUGGCGAAGGCGGCUCACUGGCCCGAUACUGACGCUGAUGCACGAAAGCGUGGGGAGCAAACAGG
rnacentral:rRNA from 1 species